CUUCAAAAGAGUAGCGUUGCCUGUACCGACGACCUCUCUUUGGCCCACCAAUCCUGCCUGGAAAAAGUCAAACAUUCCCCGUCAGGGCCUCUGAAGAAGCCAAGAAAACACCAAGGGAGAAAAUGUCCAUUGAAACACGUGCCUGCCUGAGUGUGAGGAUAUCCUACGACAGUCACUGUCGCUUAGACAGGUUAGGAGGAAUGUGAAGCUGUACCUUGUGUCCUGACCUCAUGAG
rnacentral:lncRNA from 10 species